GGAAAAAUAGUAUAUUCUUCCAUGUCUGUCCAAGAAAGAAUAUUGGCCACAUAUGAACAAAUAUCACCAAAAGAAUCUCCAUCCUUGGUAUGAUUGAGAAAACCUUUCAGGACAGCUUUUCCGAUCUCAGGGUUCUAUACCAUAGGUGGACCGUAAGUAGGUCGAGUGAUCCUCAUCAUUGAACACUGACACAUCUUCUCCUUUGAUCGGAACAUAACCAGCUGCAUCAAAAAGUAUUCUCAUAUGUUGAUCAGAGCUGACUUCAGUGUCAUUCUUGU